rnacentral:rRNA from 1 species
UAGGGAAUCUUCCACAAUGGGCGAAAGCCUGAUGGAGCAACGCCGCGUGUGUGAUGAAGGCUUUCGGGUCGUAAAGCACUGUUGUAUGGGAAGAACAGCUAGAAUAGGAAAUGAUUUUAGUUUGACGGUACCAUACCAGAAAGGGACGGCUAGAUACGUGCUAG